rnacentral:rRNA from 1 species
GAUGAACGCUGGCGGCGUGCCUAAUACAUGCAAGUCGAGCGAAGCGGGGACGGGUGAGUAACACGUUGAAAACCUCCUAUAUGACUGGGAUAACUUCGGGAAACCGGUACUAAACCUGCAACUUAUACCUGGCUCCUCGCUGCAUUAGCUAGUUGGUAAGGUCACGGCUUACAAAGUCAACGAUGCAUAGCCGACCUGAGAGGGUGAGCGGCCACACUGGAACUGAGACACGGUCCAGACUCCUACGGGAGGCAGCAGUAGGGAAUCUUCCGCAAUGGGCGAAAGCCUGACGGAGCAACGCCGCGUGAGUGAUGAAGGUCUUCGGAUCGUAAAACUCUGUCAUGAGGGAAGCGGUACCUAAUCAGAAAGCCACGGCUAACUACGUGCCAGCAGCCGCGGUAAUAC